rnacentral:ncRNA from 2 species
CUCGCCGAGGAGCGCUGCAACCCCUUCACCCGCCCCCCAUGCGGCUGAGGGGCCAGGCUCGGGAGGCUUUCUGGAGUUAUUCUAACGGCGCUCAGUUUUU